rnacentral:rRNA from 1 species
GACGAACGCUGGCGGCGCGCCUAACACAUGCAAGUCGAACGAGCGAGAGAGAGCUUGCUUUCUUGAGCGAGUGGCGAACGGGUGAGUAACGCGUGAGGAACCUGCCUCAAAGAGGGGGACAACAGUUGGAAACGACUGCUAAUACCGCAUAAGCCCACGACCCGGCAUCGGGUUGAGGGAAAAGGAGCAAUCCGCUUUGAGAUGGCCUCGCGUCCGAUUAGCUAGUUGGUGAGGUAACGGCCCACCAAGGCGACGAUCGGUAGCCGGACUGAGAGGUUGAACGGCAACAUUGGGACUGAGACACGGCCCAGACUCCUACGGGAGGCAGCAGUGGGGAAUAUUGCACAAUGGGGGAAACCCUGAUGCAGCGACGCCGCGUGGAGGAAGAAGGUCUUCGGAUUGUAAACUCCUGUUGUUGAGGAAGAUAAUGACGGUACUCAACAAGGAAGUGACGGCUAACUACGUG